rnacentral:rRNA from 1 species
AUUGAACGCUGGCGGCAAGCCUAACACAUGCAAGUCGAACGGUAGCAGGUCCUUCGGGAUGCUGACGAGUGGCGGACGGGUGAGUAACGCGUAGGAAUCUACCCAGUAGCGGGGGAUAGCCCGGGGAAACUCGGAUUAAUACCGCAUACGCCCUAAGGGGGAAAGCAGGGGAUCUUCGGACCUUGCACUAUUGGAAGAGCCUGCGUUGGAUUAGCUAGUUGGUAGGGUAAAGGCCUACCAAGGCGACGAUCCAUAGCUGGUCUGAGAGGAUGAUCAGCCACACUGGGACUGAGACACGGCCCAGACUCCUACGGGAGGCAGCAGUGGGGAAUAUUGGGCAAUGGGCGCAAGCCUGACCCAGCUAUGCCGCGUGUGUGAAGAAGGCCUCGGUGUAAG